GACCGAUAUCUCAGUCGGAAUAGCGCCGCAGUCGCGUUGCUGAGGUCGUGGGCUCGAGUCCCACUCGGUCCA
rnacentral:tRNA from 1 species